GAAAUCAGGUUUUACUGGUCAACUUAAAGGCUGGUGGGAUAAUUAUCUUAUCCAAGACCAGAAAACCAAAAUCAUCCAGUCUGUAUAGUAGUACAUGACCAAAGAGAGUUAGAUGGUCGAAUCAGGCCCUUAUGCAAAAGAGAUUAGCCAAUCAUAGGCUAGAGAUAAUAAAGUGUAAAUUAAAAUUAAAAUGCAGAAAUUUAAAAAUAACCUUAAUAUGGAUGGACUGUGCUCAAAACCAAAAACUUUUAUUUCAAACCGAGAUAUAUAUUACAAUGGAAAGAGAGUGGUGGUUCUAAAACUUGUCUUUAAAAAAUGAAAAAUGUGCUCCUUAUAUAAUGGAUGCUCUAUACAAAAGACAAAGCAAGAAAUGACCUUUACUAUUCAUAAUCGACCUUUAGAGGGACAUCGAACCGGAUCGCUUCACUGUCGCACUAGGUACUUUUACUAUAUGUUAGUUAACCUUAGUCAUGAAUCAAUCUUAAACCAAGUCCCAACUACGGUCCUUCACGCCCACCUAGCUAAUCGGCCUUUACAGGGACAUCCGGCAUUAAUGUCAAAAUUGAACUCAUAAUUGCAGCAUCUUAACAUACAACCUCUGCAACAAUCGAGGUUUAUGAUUCUUAUUAAUAACAAGAUGCCAUUUCAUACAUGUAACAUAUUCUGUUAUAGUUCAACACUAGGAAUUUAGCCCAUCAUAGGCUAGAGAUAAUAAAGUUAAAAUUAAAAUUUAAAUGCAGAAAUUUAAAAAUAACCUUAAUAUGGAUGGAUUGUGCUCAGAACAAAAAGAUUUUAUUUCAAACCAAGAUAUAUAUUAUAAGGAAGAGAGAGUAGUAGUAGAGAGAAAGUGGUGGUUCUAAAACCUGUCCUUAAAAAAAUAAAAAAUGAGCUCCUUAUAUAAUAGAUGCUCUAUACAAAAGACAAAACAAGAAAUGACCCUUACUAUUCACAAUUGGCUUUUACUAUUUAUAAACGACCCUUGUUUUUUCAAAAAGCUAAGUGUCCUUUACUAUUCAUAAAUGACUCUUGCUUUUUCAUUAAGCUGUUUUCAUUUUGUCUGCCAUCAUAGCUUUUAAUAAUUUCAACAUUGGCGGGACCCUUCAUGUUCUUAUGUCAUUUUCCCCUUUGUUCUUUGCAGUGCUGGAAAAUUCUUCUAUGGUUGUUUGAAAUUUUCGCAAAUAAUCAUCCAGAUCUAUUUCUUCAUCACUCUGGAUAUCCUGCAGGUCACCAGCCAAGCAAUCCCCUGCAGAAGAGAUGGACAUAUCUGAAGUGUACUCCUGAUCAAGAUUUUUCAAUAAAUCCUUUUUGACUUCUUCCAUAUAGGAUGCCAAAAUCUCAG
rnacentral:lncRNA from 1 species